AUUUAUAUAAUAUAAAAAGUAUAUUUAAUUUCCAAUUAAAAGGUUUAAAUAUUUAAUAUAAAUA
rnacentral:tRNA from 1 species